GAUGAACGCUAGCGGCAGGCUUAACACAUGCAAGUCGAGGGGUAGAAGGAGCUUGCUCCUUUGAGACCGGCGCACGGGUGCGUAACGCGUAUGCAAUCUACCUUUUGCAGAGGGAUAGCCCAGAGAAAUUUGGAUUAAUACCUCAUAGUAUGUGAGGAUGGCAUCAUUUUCACAUUAAAGUCACAACGGCAAAAGAUGAGCAUGCGUCCCAUUAGCUAGUUGGUAAGGUAACGGCUUACCAAGGCUACGAUGGGUAGGGGUCCUGAGAGGGAGAUCCCCCACACUGGUACUGAGACACGGACCAGACUCCUACGGGAGGCAGCAGUGAGGAAUAUUGGACAAUGGGCGCAAGCCUGAUCCAGCCAUGCCGCGUGCAGGAUGACGGUCCUAUGGAUUGUAAACUGCUUUUAUACAGGAAGAAACACUAACUUCGUGAAGUAGCUUGACGGUACUGUAAGAAUAAGGAU
rnacentral:rRNA from 1 species